UGAACCUAGGCCAAUUUGAACGUACAGACUUGAUCUUGGCCCCUGCCUGGUUCCGUGUUUUUAAACACUGGUUUGUAUUUUAUGAGUGCAUUUUGAUGUAUAUGUUCCUCUCACUGUGACAUUACUUACCCAACCAGAAAAAAAAAAAGAAGAAGAAGAAUAAGAAGAAAGAAAGAAAAGAGUUUAUCAGGCCCUUGAAGAUUCAAACAAUGAGAGGCCUUAGUUUAAGACAAACCUCAAGCUAGGGAAGAUGAGGUUCGAUUUGGUUGAAUGUCAGUGCAUGGACAAGGUCCUAUGUCUUGAUUCAAGCUAAGUAUUUUCAAGUGUUUGCCAAACCAUUUAUUGUCCUCUACGCAUUUUAUUUUGAAUGUACGCUGCAUGUGCUUCUAACAAUAAAUAAAAUUCAUAUGGAUUUUUAAGGAAACUCACGAACCUUAUUGGAGAUAAGAUGGAUCCAAUGGUCAGAAGAAAGGGAACUCAAUUGUAGGAGUUCUAUGCUAUUAAAUCCAGAUUGCAGUGAAACUUGGAACCCAAAACAAAAAGAAGCUUAAGGAUUCUACUUUUUGAGAUUCUUAUUUCCACGUCAAAGAGACUAUUAAAUUCUAACAUAUUGGAGCUUCUCAAGAGACGAGGGACCUCUUGAUCAUGUGAGACCUUCGGCUGAGACUUGGUUCAAAUUUUGAGGUGUAACUCAGAUGGCAUGUGUGUGGAGCCAGACGACUCGGCUACUCUUUUCUAGUGGAUGACAUAUACCGGCAAUCAUUGUCUCUCAAUUGAAGAACUCAGUUUAUGGAUGCCCUUCGCAUUCAUCUUAGGUGCUCAUGCUUGCUUUCAUACUUUUCUCUUGCAUAAUUUCUCACUCAUGCUCAUCAAAGAGCACUUCAAUUAAUUGGGAAACUGCUUUGACGGUGAUGAUGAUGAUGAUAACGAUGAUGCUUAU